rnacentral:rRNA from 1 species
AGCAGCCGCGGUAAUUCCAGCUCCAAUAGCGUAUAUUAAAGUUGUUGCAGUUAAAAAGCUCGUAGUUGAAUUUCGGGGUCAAUACGUCGGUCGUGCUUCGGUACGUACCGGCAUUGUUGGUUUCUUCCUUCUGACGAACCAUGAUGUCAUUUAUUUGGUGUCGUGGGAAAUCAGGACUGUUACUUUGAAAAAAUUAAAGUGUUUAAAGCAGGCUCACGCUUGAAUACAUUAGCAUGGAAUAAUGAAAUAGGACGUUUGAUUCUAUUUUGUUGGUUUCUAGGAUCGACGUAAUGAUUAAUAGGGAUAGUUGGGGGCAUUAGUAUUCAAUUGUCAGAGGUGAAAUUCUUGGAUUUAUUGAAGACUAACUACUGCGAAAGCAUUUGCCAAGGAUGUUUCAUUAAUCAAGAACGAAAGUUAGGGGAUCGAAGACGAUCAGAUACCGUCGUAGUC